GACGAACGCUGGCGGCGUGCUUAACACAUGCAAGUCGAGCGGAGCGGCGAACGGGUGAGUAACGCGUGAGUAACUGCCCCCCUCUCUGGGAUAACAGUUGGGAAAGGCUGCUAAUACCGGAUAGUGGGGGAUGACUCGCGUCCUAUCAGCUUGUUGGUGGGGUAGUGGCCUACCAAGGCGACGACGGGUAGCCGGCCUGAGAGGGCGACCGGCCACAUUGGGCGGAGAUACGGGCAAGACUGCUACGGGGGGCAGCAGUGGGGAAUAGUGCACAAUGGGGGAGACCCUGAGGCAGCAACGCCGGGUGCGGGAUGACGGCCUUCGGGUUGUAAACCGCUUUCAGCCAUGACGCGGUAGUGACAGAAGAAGCACCGGCUAACUACGUGCCAGCCGCCGCGGUAAUAC
rnacentral:rRNA from 1 species